CCGAGAGUCCGUGAGACCCCGGCCGGGGCCGCUCCGCUGCUGUCAGCCCUCGGGCCUCCCAGCCAGACUGGUUCUGAACCGAUUUAUCAGGGGGGUGCGGAGAGGGCCGGCGAAGCGCCAGGAAAUCCCCAGGCUGAGGAGGCGCGGGGGCGUUGCAGGAAGGGGGAAGGGAAAAGGCAGAAAACCUGGAGAAUGAAAGCGAACUUCCAGGGGCGUCCCCAGCCUCCUGCAAAAGGGCAAUUUGCUGAUCGCCCACUUCCUCGCAGUUACGGGAUAGAGAGAAUCAUCACUGAGUCAAGCUUCGGCUGCUUAGGGCGGUGGGAAAAGUCAUUAGCUAUAAUAACCCGCCGGAAAUUUUGAGGAGAGCUACUGACUUGGGGGUUUCAGUCAUCUGAGGCUGGCUUCCGCUGUCCCCUUAGUUGUGGGUGGUGAUUUGCUUACUAAUCAGAUGGGAGCGGAUUCUGAAAAGAACAUUUAUAUUUGGGAAUCAACUCAGCUCAGCAUCAGACAUUACGAAUACUGCAGUUGGUCACAUUUUACUAUGUGAAGGGCAGAAAGGGAGCCCAACAGUCAUCGUAAGCCAGACCUAGUCUCUAAGGUCACCGACACAGACGCACGGUCUAAAGCAGGAAAGAGGUGCGACUGGAAAGGAGGUUAGACAGGGCCCUGCGGGAAUGGAUCUGCCCGGAGCCCUCGCCUGGUUUUGCUUGAGACUCCGACAAGACUCCCAGUGCUUCUCUCCCCGACCCUAUCCCCACUCCCUCCAUCCUGGAAAAGCCAGUAAGCAAAGUUAACUCUUUCUUCUAAGAAACCCUGAGUGAAAUCUUGCUCUUCCUUUGUGCUAGAGUCCUGAAACCCUUUCGCUUCUCACUGUGGGUUCACCAGCACGUGGUCUUCGGACACUGAGCGCACCUUCGCUCUCAGCUGUGAUCCUAGCUAGCCCAGACACCAGUCUGUACCCAAAGGAAGAGUAGGAAGUUGCAAAGGGAAGCUGGCUAACAAGGGCUUCUUCUGCCCUACUUGGCAAAGGCCCAUACGGGUGGCCUCCGUGGAUACGGAGCUCCUUCAUUUUGUUCCAAAAAGAGCUCUGCCAGGCUUUACCAUUGCCCUGGAGGUGCACAGGCGCCCGUAUACUCGAGCACAACCAUGGGCUCACCCCAAGCGCGCACACCUGCACCCACGCGUAAGGAAGAACCACACAGCUAUCUCUGUCGGGGAAGAACACGAGGAGUGAAGUGUUUUAGGUGGAAACUGCUCACAUCUCCUUUCUUUCCUCUGCUCCCCCUCUCUGCCCCUGGUACUCCGGAUCCAAUCCUUGGCUUAGGAAUCCACUCAAGCCACGUCUGGCUGCUUUGUUCCAGAGGAGCGCAGCUCCGAGACUGCACUUCAGCGGUGCAGCCUCCCUCCAGGUCGGCGAGCGGCGCCAGAUCCGGGACUUCAGGGUCUCCGCGGGAGCUUAGGAGGCUCAGGAUCUGAGUUGGAGAGCUGGAAGGCCAAACUCCGAGCCGCUGAGGGACUGCGCAGGAAGAUCACAGAAAUAAACCAAAGGGACACCUCGGACAGAUGUACCAGAGGACACCACUGAAGUCCAGGAGAAUCUCCACCAAAGCCAUCAGCGUUUUCCUUGUAGCUUUCUGUCCCUCGAAGUGGAAAAUUGAGGUUUCUGAGAAGUCCACGGAGAGAACCUGCAGCAAACUGAAGCCACAGACUCCGAAGGCAUAGGGAGAAAAAAUGCUUCCAUCCCCCUUUCACUUUAAACUUGAUCGCUUCUGGGACUUCACUGGAGGGCGGUGGAGUUGCACCAACCUGGAGUACAGGCAGAUCCCAGCGAGCACUUCCAAGUACUUUAGGACGUGGGGGUGACUCCUUUUUCUUCAGGAUUGUCCCACUUGCCACCCUUUCCAGCUGAGCUGAUAGGAACCAAUGAAAGUCUAGGCGAUGAGGAUUUUCCGUUACCUUAGGGAUGAAAGUAUAAAAUGUUGAAUGAGAAACCCGAAGACCUUGCAUCGCUGGGCUGAAUAACUUUUUGUUUUCUUUUUUAUGGUGUCCAGACUGAGGUCAUUUUUCUGAGGACCAAUGGUGAUAAGUGUUGGUUUGCCUAUCUUCCCAGAAUAAUCCAAGAUUUGGGGAAAGAAAGAGUAUUUUGCUAAUUUCAGCCGUUUAGAGAGAAGACUGAGUUACUGUUCUUUUUUAACUCAUCUUUUGCUUCCAUAGUAUUCCUGGUCCUGUAACUGAAUGCAAUCUUUUGGCUAGCUUCGUGUUAAAGUUCUUUUGGAUUUGUAUCUCAGCUCUUAGUGGCUGUGACUUCUGUAAUGAAAGGGAAUCCUUUCUGUGACUGGUUAGCAUCAAACUUCUUUCUCCACACAGUGUUCUUUAUUUCUCUGCUUGCAGUUUUGUUCAUUCCAUGUAAAUUCUUUGAAUGCCUUUGUCAGGCCUCUGAGCCCAAGCCAAGCCAUCGCAUCCCCUGUGACUUGCACGGAUACGCCCAGAUGGCCUGAAGUAACUGAAGAAUCACAAAAAAGUGAAUAUGCCCUGCCCCGCCUUAACUGAUGACAAUCCACCACAAAAGAAGUGUAAAUGGCCGGUCCUUGCCUUAACUGAUGAUAUUCCACCACAAAAGACUUGAAAAUGGCCGGUCCUUGCCUUAAGUGAUGACAUUCCCUUGUGAAAGUCCUUUUCCUGGCUCAUCCUGGCUCAAAAAGCACCCCCACUGAGCACCUUGCGACCCCCCCCACUCCUGCCUGCCAGAGAACGAACCCCCUUUGACUGUAAUUUUCCUUUACCUACCCAAAUCUUAUAAAACAGCCCCACCCCUAUCUCCCUUCGCUGACUCUCUUUGCGGACUCAGCCCGCCUGCGCCCAGGUGAUUAAAAGCUUUUAUUGCUCACACAAAGCCUGUUUGGUGGUCUCUUCACAGGGACGUGCAUGAAAGCCUUGUUAUAGCCAGUGCCCUGCACCAGGCACUGGAGAAAGAAGACUAACCAUAAUUUUCAUGGCCUCUGUCCCUCAUAAUAGAGCUUACCAUCUAGUAGAGGUUAAUAGACCAACAAAUUAGUUGUUACAUUAUGAUCUUGUUUUUAUUUCACCAACUACAAUUUGUUAUCAAGCCCAAGUGUGUUCUUUUGUGAGACCUCUGGAACCACCUCCUAUUAACUCCAAUAAUAGCUUCUCUGUUGCACUUAGUUUCUGGUUUAUUUUUCCCACAUUCAUUCUAACUGCCUUGGGAGGUAGUUUGUGAAACAUCUGUAUGAAGUCUUUUACUGCAGUACCAGAUACAGCCCAGGGUAUUACUAAACAAAGUUCUGGAAUAAAACAAACCUGAGUUUGAA